UGGGGAAUAUUGGACAAUGGGGGAAACCCUGAUCCAGCAACGCCGCGUGGGGGAUGAAGGUCUUCGGAUUGUAAACCCCUGUUGGGAGGGGCGAAGGCUGCCGGGCGAACAGUCCGGCCGCUUGACGGUACCUCCAGAGAAAGCCCCGGCUAACUCUGUGCCAGCAGCCGCGGUAAUACAGAGGGGGCAAGCGUUAUUCGGAAUCAUUGGGCGUAAAGGGCGCGUAGGCGGCCGUGCAAGUCUUGGGUGAAAUCCCUCGGCUCAACCGAGGAACUGCCCUGGAAACUGCACGGCUUGAGGCCGGGAGAGGGUGGUGGAAUUCCCAGUGUAGCGGUGAAAUGCGUAGAUACUGGGAGGAACACCAGUGGCGAAGGCGGCCACCUGGACCGGUCCUGACGCU
rnacentral:rRNA from 1 species